rnacentral:rRNA from 1 species
CCUACGGGAGGCAGCAGUGGGGAAUAUUGGGCAAUGGGCGCAAGCCUGACCCAGCAACGCCGCGUGAGGGAAGAAGGACCUCGGGUUGUAAACUUCUUUUAUUAGGGACGAAAAAAAUGACGGUUCAGAAAGAAUACGCCACGGCUAACUACGCUCCAGCCGCCGCGGUACUACGUGGGUGGCGAGCGUUAUCCGGAUUUACUGGGUGUAAAGGGCGUGAAGGCGGGAGAGCAAGUCAGACGUGAAAUUCCAGGGCUCAACCCUGGAACUGCGUUGGACACUGUGCUUCGUGAGUGAUGGAGAGGCAGGCGGAAUUCCGGGUGUAGCGGUGAAAUGCGGAGAUAUACGGAGGAACACCAGUGGCGAAGGCGGCCUGCUGGACAUUAACUGACGCGGAGGCGCGAAAGCGUGGGGAGCAAACAGGAUUAGAUACCGUAGUAGGC